CUGAGACACAGAAUAGGAAGUUAUACCAGAAGCGUAACUCUAGUCGUUUCCCUUAUUGUUUGACGUCCACGAAAAUUUUAACUCGCUCACGUCAGGCCACGCCAUCCUGGCUAGUACAGCCGGAAGUUUUCAUCAGGAUUUGGUAGGUACAAAGUGCCGGUUGUACUAGCCAGGAUGGCGUGAUUGAUGACGAAUCGCUUGUAAAAACGCGGACAAAUAUUUGCUUGAGUUACGCUUCUGGUAUAACUUCCUAUUCUGUGUCUGAGAUUUCGGGACAGUGCUUCCAUUUUCAAAAUCAAAAUUUCUCAUUUUUGUCAUCAAAAUUUCUCUAAAUUCCUUAGAUUGUAUACGUUAUUUCCUUGAAAAUUCCUUGAAAUUUCAUUAGGCGGUUUCCAGUGCUUUUGUAGCAAUACAAAGGAUUUAAUCAAUUUUAAAGGCACAAAAUAGCACAACUAACAAAGAUGAUUGCUAGCUAAAAAACCACAGGCUAUUAUACUGUUUAAAAUUAAAUAUUUGUCAUGAGUUUACAACAUACACCUUUCCAUUGAUAUAAAAAAUUAAUUAUUCACAGCGUUUGGCGCCAAAAGUUACUAAAUCCCAUCGCUCAAAAACUUUCGGAAGUUUUCGGAAACACGAGGGAAAAGUUAAAAACAGAUUUUUGAUUAAACAUAAUUGAUAAUUCACUCAAAAAUUCAAGAAAUAGUGAAACUUUCUUCUGCACUAAUGCCAUUGGAUGAAUAUUUAAGUUGUUCGGAAAAAAUCCUUAGAUUUCCUUAGAUUUUUUCACUUCCUUAGAUUUUCCUUUUCGACACUAGAAUUUCCUUAGAAAAGGAAAUUUCCUUGAAAAUGGAAGCACUGUUUCGGGAUUUCCCAUUCCUCCGCAAACUACGUCACAAGCCUGCUGACGUCAACCUUUUUAUAAAGGUCUAUUCCAAGUAAGAAAAUUUAAAAAAUCAAUUUUCAAUAUUCUCUACAGGCCUACUAGGUCACUGUGAUGAAUCACAAUAUUUGAGGAAAACUAUAUAACAAUUUUACCAAUGACCACUCCCAUAUAAUUUUACUGAUCAGAAUUCCUUUUUCUGAUUUUAUCAACAAUCUUAGCAGAAAAUGGGGUUGCACAACCCCCUACCCCACACACAAGGUACACCCUGUACUUCAGGCACCCUUAAUUAAAAUUCAGUAUUUUUUGUGCAUUUCUCUUUGUCAUUUCACAUGCAUUUUUCUUUGCAAAAUUAUCCCACAUUUAUAACACAGUACACAGCUGAAGUAAUUUAAUUUAACUUUUUCAAAGAAUAAUAAUUAAUUACAAUAAAUAAUUUUAAAAUCUAAACUAUUCUAAUAACUUUGUUGCCCCACUGGCUAUGACUAAUUUGCUCUGCUGUUCAGUAUCUUGUACCCUGGAUUCCAGAGCCUUUGACAGUAAAUAAUAAAUUGAAAUGUCGCGAAGGCUCUGGUUCAACGGGCUCUUGAAGGCUCUGUUUUGUGAUUGGCGCGGUUUAAUCAAAGAAUCGCCCCGUUGAACCAGAGCCUUCACGACAUUUCAAUUUAUUAUUUACUGUCGAAGGCUCUGGAAUCCAGGGUAAGUAUCUUGAAACUUCUAGCCAGUUCUAGGGGUACUCUUACUAGGGGGUACUACUGGUCCUGGCCAGUAUAUUACUACUCUUGCUAUUUGAACCUCCAAAGACCUUGUGUUUCAUUCUUGUCCACAUUAAAGUUUCAACCUAAAUAAGAAAAGUGAGUUAGUUAGUUAGUUAGUCUAUCACUGGGUCAUUCCAGAAAACAUCCAUACCACCCCCACAGAGGAAAUAGGAAGUUAACCCCCCUACCCCUAGCCUGCGAACAGGCUCUCAAGCUGAAUUGAGAGCCUGCAUCGAUGACUAAUGAAUUUGAAUAUCUGCCCCGUAACGUUCGUUUUUCCAAAUAUGGAAUUUCUAUCCUUAUAUGGUGUUGUUUACAACUUUCGUGCAAACUAAAUUUAGACCGUGCAAACUAAAUUUAGACCGUACAGUUUAUACUGUUUUUCGAAAUAUAAGAUAUUGAAGCAAAAGUUUAAAUGUUUUAAAUACUGUUUUCUCAAAACAGAACACUUUGAGAUAAGAUGGCCAAGACCAAUUUGAUCAGUUAAUGUGUUUUUUAUGCAUAGUGCUAGCAGUUGACAUAUAUAGAGCUCAGCGGAAUAAUAUAAAUUGUAGCAUCUGACCAAUAAGAAUUUUGCGUCACGAUUUGAGACGCAGAUAUUCAAAUUCAUUAGUCAUCAAUGCAGACUCUCAAUUCAGCUUGAGAGCCUAUCCUACCCCCUUCGGAUGUCCUCAUACAUUUACUAUUGUCAGAAACAAUUUUUUCUCCCCUCCCCCUCUGGACGGCAGAAAUUUUUUCUCCCCUCCCCUUCUGGAUGGCAGAGGCACUGCAUGCCUCGGUAAAUAAAUCACAUAUCCCCUUGUUGCUUCAAAAUAACCUAUACUUAUUUACACUUGGAUAAAAAUAUUAGCAUAUGAGGUCAGUCUUCAGCUUAAAAUAAUACCAAUACUGAUCAAUAUAUACUCACAGGGGCGUCGGAGCAGGUCUAAAAGUGGGGGGGGGGGGCUUAGCGCCUGCCAAAGGCAGGCAACAUAAACAUUUUAAAACUAGAGUCUCUGAAAUAUUAAAACUAGAGUCACUGAAAUGCCAUUUCCUGUACUUUAGAAGGAUAUUUAAGGAGAUUUACAGAGUUCUAAAGGUAACAAAAUGUCAUAAAAUAUCUCAAAUUGUUUUGUCUACACGCAUAACUGAAAUAAAAUCAAUUAACUUUGAGGUUUAUUAUUGACCAUUGUUAAAAAUUAAGGGGUCGAAACUCCAAAGACAAAAUGGCCACCCAACUAAAAAAGUGCCCCCCCCCCAGCCUCCGACACCACUUUAUACUCAAUCAGGAUUUGAUUACAUCCUUUCUGUUAGGCAAAGCCAGGGCACCAACAACCUUUUAUACCUGCUUAUCUAAUAGCAUAUACUAUAUGCUCAGAAAUAUAUUAGCAAUUUAGCAGCUUAAAAGUACAUGCUAGUCUGUAAUUCAAUUAUAUAUUUUUAUAGUCGCAUACUUGUACUAUAUUGACAUUUUUAUUGUUUAUUUUUAUUGAACAUAUGCUGUCUAGACAGUCUAGCAUAUAAAUAUUAUGUUUGUAUGGCAACACCAUUU